rnacentral:rRNA from 1 species
UACGUAGGGAGCAAGCGUUGUUCGGAUUUACUGGGCGUAAAGGGCGCGUAGGCGGCAUAUUAAGUCAUCUGUGAAAUCUCCGAGCUUAACUUGGAACUGUCAGCUGAUACUGAUGUGCUAGAGUGCGGAAGGGGCAAUCGGAAUUCUUGGUGUAGCGGUGAAAUGCGUAGAUAUCGGGAGGAACACCUGUGGCGAAAGCGGCGCACUGGACCACAUCUGACGCUGAGGCGCGAAAGCUAGGGGAGCAAACAGG